CAUAUGAUAAUGAACUUCCUAAACUCUGUAUCCUGCUUUUGUCCUCCAGACCAGACUGGAUUUGUUUGUAGCAGUCAGGUGACCUGGCCACGCCUUCAAGAACUUCAAAAAGAGUUUCCAUGUUUCAGUGUUAAACGUCCCAUCAGAAGGAUUUCUUACAGAUUUCUUACAUAAUUCAUCGUGUUCCAGGUUUCACUUUAUUUUGGAAGAUGGAGCAGCGAAGUCUCCUGGAGAAUGAACAACUUCUACUUCUUCUUCUUCUGCAUUGUGAAAGUUGGAUGGAGUUCGGCGGGGCUGUAACCUGAGCUCAGGCCAUGGACCGUGAAGACUCCACAGAGGAGCCAAUGGACCUGGAAGAGUCUACAGAGGAGGCCAUGGACAUGCAGGCCAUGGACCUGGAAGACUCCACGGAGGAGUCCAUGGACGUGGAUGACUCCACAGAAGAGCCCAUGGACGUGCAGGAAAUGCCGUGGGGGCACGAGGCUAACAGCGCUAACCAUGCUAAUGGUGUAUUCCAUGCUGUCACUCAAGAAGAUCAGC
ensembl:lncRNA